GACGUAGGGCGCGAGCGUUGUCCGGAUUUAUUGGGCGUAAAGAGCUCGUAGGCGGCUUGUCGCGUCGAAUGUGAAAACUCGGGGCUCAACUCCGAGCUUGCAUUCGAUACGGGCAGGCUAGAGUUCGGUAGGGGGAGACUGGAAUUCCUGGUGUAGCGGUGAAAUGCGCAGAUAUCAGGAGGAACACCGGUGGUGUAAACGGCUUUCUGGACCGUAACUGACGCUGAGGCACGAAAGCGUGGGUAGCAAACAGG
rnacentral:rRNA from 1 species